CUUGUUGGUGGGGUAAUGGCCUACCAAGGCGACGACGGGUAGCCGGCCUGAGAGGGCGACCGGCCACACUGGGACUGAGACACGGCCCAGACUCCUACGGGAGGCAGCAGUGGGGAAUAUUGCACAAUGGGCGAAAGCCUGAUGCAGCGACGCCGCGUGAGGGAUGACGGCCUUCGGGUUGUAAACCUCUUUCAGUAGGGACGAAGCGCAAGUGACGGUACCUACAGAAGAAGCACCGGCUAACUACGUGCCAGCAGCCGCGGUAAUACGUAGGGUGCGAGCGUUGUCCGGAAUUAUUGGGCGUAAAGAGCUCGUAGGCGGUUUGUUGCGUCGGCUGUGAAAACCUACAGCUUAACUGUGGGCCUGCAGUCGAUACGGGCAGACUUGAGUUCGGCAGGGGAGACUGGAAUUCCUGGUGUAGCGGUGAAAUGCGCAGANNUCAGGAGGAACACCGGUGGCGAAGGCGGGUCUCUGG
rnacentral:rRNA from 1 species